GGAGGUCAUUAUCGUUUCCACGGAGGUGUUCGGGUUGUCGCUGGCCUUUUCACAGGUCGUGCACGCCUGAGCAUGCUCUUGUCCAUCCACCUCACCCCCUUUGUGCAUCACCGCGUGGGUCCUCUUUCUCGGAGGGGGCCCGCGUUUUUCACACAAACUUUGAAAUGGCUUAGAAUGUUCUUUGCGAUCACACGCAACAAAAAUACAACUUUCAACAAUGGAUCUCUUGGCUCUCGCAUCGAUGAAGAACGCAGCGAAAUGCGAUACGUAAUGUGAAUUGCAGAAUUCAGUGAAUCAUCGAAUCUUUGAACGCACCUUGCGCCCCUUGGCAUUCCGAGGGGCACGCCCGUUUGAGUGUCGUGAAAAUCCUCAAAGCCCUUUUCCUCGCUCGCUUUGAACGAGGGAGAAGGCUUUGGACUUGGAGGUUCAAUGCUUGCCCUUUGCCUUCNGAAGGCAAGCUCCUCUCAAAUACAUCAGUGGGGGUCCCGCAUUCGGCCCGGUCCAUGACGUGAUAAGACCCUUUUACGUUUUGGGCUUGACCGUGGCUCUUUGGACGCCUGCUUCUAACCGUCUCAUGGACAAUAUGAUGGUGCUCCGGUCACCUGCCAUUCGUUGGUUGGGGAGGCCGGACCCACGACACACACUCUUGACCUCAAAUCGGGCGAGACUACCCGCUGAACUUAAGCAUAUCAAUAAGCGGAGGAAAAGAAACUAACAAGGAUUCCCCUAGUAACUGCGAGUGAAGCGGGAAAAGCUCAAAUUUAAAAUCUGGUGGUCUUUACGGCCAUCCGAGUUGUAAUUUAGAGAAGCGUCUUCCGCGCUGGACCGUGCACAAGUCUCCUGGAACGGAGCAUCAUAGAGGGUGAGAAUCCCGUCUUUGGCACGGACGCACCAGGGCUUCUGCGAUGCGCUCUCGAAGAGUCGAGUUGUUUGAGAAUGCAGCUCAAAAUGGGUGGUGAACUCCAUCUAAAGCUAAAUAUUGGCGAGAGACCGAUAGCGAACAAGUACCGUGAGGGAAAGAUGAAAAGCACUUUGGAAAGAGAGUGAAACAGUACGUGAAAUUGUUGAAAGGGAAACGCUUGAAGUCAGUCGCGUCGGCCGAGACUCAGCCUUGCCUCGGCUCGGUGUAUUUCUUGGCCGACGGGUCAGCGUCAAUUUCGCUCCUUGGAUAAUGGCGAGGGGAACGUGACACCUUUCGGGGUGUGUUAUAGCCUCUCGUCGCAUGCGAGGGACGAGAUUGAGGAACUCAGCACG
rnacentral:rRNA from 1 species